rnacentral:rRNA from 1 species
AUUGAACGCUGGCGGCAGGCCUAACACAUGCAAGUCGAGCGGAGCGGCGGACGGGUGAGUAAUGCCUAGGAAUCUGCCUGGUAGUGGGGGAUAACGUACGGAAACGGGAGCUAAUACCGCAUACUAUCAGAUGAGCCUAGGUCGGAUUAGCUAGUUGGUGGGGUAAAGGCAUACAAAGGCGACGAUCCGUAACUGGUCUGAGAGGAUGAUCAGUCACACGGGAACUGAGACACGGUCCAGACUCCUACGGUAGGCAGCAGUGGGGAAUAUUGGACAAUGGGCGAAAGCCUGAUCCAGCCAUUCCGCGUGAAUGAAGAAGGCCUUCGGGUUGUAAAGUUCUUUCGGUAGCGAGGCGUUAACUACAGAAGAAGCACCGGCUAACUCCGUGCCAGCAGCCGCGGUAAUUC